UGGAUCCAGACUUUGAUUCUGGCUCAGGAUGAACGCUGGCGGCGUGCCUAACACAUGCAAGUCGAACGGACUUACAUUGAAGCCUAGCGAUAUGUAAGUUAGUGGCGGACGGGUGAGUAACGCGUGGGUAACCUGCCUUGUACUGGGGGACAACAGUUGGAAACGACUGCUAAUACCGCAUAAGCGCACAGCUUCGCAUGAAGCAGUGUGAAAAACUCCGGUGGUACAAGAUGGACCCGCGUCUGAUUAGCUGGUUGGUGAGGUAACGGCCCACCAAGGCGACGAUCAGUAGCCGGCCUGAGAGGGUGAACGGCCACAUUGGGACUGAGACACGGCCCAAACUCCUACGGGAGGCAGCAGUGGGGAAUACUGCACAAUGGGGGAAACCCCGAUGCAGCAACGCCGCGUGAGUGAAGAAGUAUUUCGGUAUGUAAAGCUCUAUCAGCAGGAAAGAAAAUGACGGUACCUGACUAAGAAGCCCCGGCUAACUACGUGCCAGCAGCCGCGGUAAUACGUAGGGGGCAAGCGUUAUCCGGAUUUACUGGGCGUAAAGGGAGCGUAGACGGUUUUGCAAGUCUGAAGUGAAAGCCCGGGGCUUAACCCCGGGACUGCUUUGGAAACUGUAGAACUAGAGUGCAGGAGAGGUAAGUGGAAUUCCUAGUGUAGCGGUGAAAUGCGUAGAUAUUAGGAGGAACACCAGUGGCGAAGGCGGCUUACUGGACUGUAACUGACGUUGAGGCUCGAAAGCGUGGGGAGCAAACAGGAUUAGAUACCCUGGUAGUCCACGCCGUAAACGAUGAUUACUAGGUGUUGGUGGGUAUGACCCAUCGGUGCCGCAGCAAACGCAAUAAGUAAUCCACCUGGGGAGUACGUUCGCAAGAAUGCAACUCAAAUGAAUUGACGGA
rnacentral:rRNA from 1 species